ensembl:rRNA 5S_rRNA 5S ribosomal RNA
GCUGACAGGCAUCCCUGACGGUAUCUACAACCGUCCCACUCUGAUCCCUGAAGCAAAGAGCAGGGUAUAACCUUGCCAGUACUUACAUGGGAGACCACCGGGGACUACUGGUUGCUGUAGGCU